CUACGGGCCGCUCCAGUCGAGAAUCUUCCGCAAUGGACGAAAGUCUGACGGAGCGACGCCGCGUGCGGGAUGAAGGCCUUCGGGUUGUAAACCGCUGUCAGUGGGGAGGAAAUGCAUCAGGGUUCUCCCUGGUGUUUGACCGAUCCGCAGAGGAAGCGCAGGCUAAGUUCGUGCCAGCAGCCGCGGUAACACGAACUGCGCGAACGUUAUUCGGAAUCACUGGGCUUAAAGAGUUCGUAGGCGGCCUUUCAAGUCGGGUGUGAAAUCCCUCGGCUCAACCGGGGAAUUGCGCCUGAUACUGUUGGGCUUGAGGGGGAUAGGGGUGAGCGGAACUGAUGGUGGAGCGGUGAAAUGCGUUGAUAUCAUCAGGAACACCGGUGGCGAAGGCGGCUCACUGGAUCUCUUCUGACGCUGAGGAACGAAAGCUAGGGGAGCGAACGGGAUUAGAUACCCGCGUAGUC
rnacentral:rRNA from 1 species